rnacentral:rRNA from 1 species
UACGUAGGGUGCGAGCGUUAAUCGGAAUUACUGGGCGUAAAGCGUGCGCAGGCGGUGAUGUAAGACCGAUGUGAAAUCCCCGGGCUUAACCUGGGAACUGCAUUGGUGACUGCACGGCUAGAGUGUGUCAGAGGGGGGUAGAAUUCCACGUGUAGCAGUGAAAUGCGUAGAGAUGUGGAGGAAUACCGAUGGCGAAGGCAGCCCCCUGGGAUAACGCUGACGCUCAUGCACGAAAGCGUGGGGAGCAAACAGG